rnacentral:rRNA from 1 species
UUGAGAGUUUGAUCCUGGCUCAGAACGAACGCUGGCGGCAGGCCUAACACAUGCAAGUCGAGCGCUACCUUCGGGUGGAGCGGCGGACGGGUUAGUAACGCGUGGGAACGUACCCAGAUCUAAGGAAUAGCCACUGGAAACGGUGAGUAAUACCUUAUACGCCCUUCGGGGGAAAGAUUUAUCGGAUUUGGAUCGGCCCGCGUUAGAUUAGAUAGUUGGUGGGGUAACGGCCUACCAAGUCUACGAUCUAUAGCUGGUUUUAGAGGAUGAUCAGCAACACUGGGACUGAGACACGGCCCAGACUCCUACGGGAGGCAGCAGUGGGGAAUCUUAGACAAUGGGCGCAAGCCUGAUCUAGCCAUGCCGCGUGAGUGAUGAAGGCCUUAGGGUCGUAAAGCUCUUUCGCCAGAGAUGAUAAUGACAGUAUCUGGUAAAGAAACCCCGGCUAACUCCGUGCCAGCAGCCGCGGUAAUACGGAGGGGGUUAGCGUUGUUCGGAAUUACUGGGCGUAAAGCGUACGUAGGCGGAUUAGUCAGUCAGAGGUGAAAUCCCAGGGCUCAACCCUGGAACUGCCUUUGAUACUGCUAGUCUUGAGUUCGAGAGAGGUGAGUGGAAUUCCAAGUGUAGAGGUGAAAUUCGUAGAUAU